rnacentral:rRNA from 1 species
CAGUAACGGCGAGUGAAGCGGCAACAGCUCAAAUUUGAAAUCUGGCUCCUUCGGGGCCCGAAUUGUAAUUUGUAGAGAGUGCUUCGGGCGAGACCUCGGUCUAAGUCCAUUGGAACAUGGUGUCAUAGAGGGUGAGAAUCCCGUAUGCGACCGUGGCUCGAGCCCAUGUGAAGCCUCUUCGACGAGUCGAGUUGUUUGGGAAUGCAGCUCAAAAUGGGUGGUAAAUUUCAUCUAAAGCUAAAUACUGGCUGGAGACCGAUAGCGCACAAGUAGAGUGAUCGAAAGAUGAAAAGCACUUUGGAAAGAGAGUCAAACAGUACGUGAAAUUGUUGAAAGGGAAGCGCUUGCAACCAGACCUGCCCGUAGGCGAUCAGCCGCUGUUCUCAGCGGUGUACUCGCUCUGCGAUCAGGCCAGCAUCGGUUUCGGCGGUCGGAUAAAGGCCUUGGGAAUGUAGCUUCCCUUCGGGGGAGUCUUAUAGCCCUCGGUGCAAUGCGGCCAGCCGGGACCGAGGACCGCGCUCCGGCUAGGAUGCUGGCGUAAUGGUUGUAAGCGACCCGUCUUGAAACACGGACCAAGGAGUCUAACAUCUAUGCGAGUGUUUGGGUGUCAAACCCAUACGCGGAAUGAAAGUGAACGGAGGUGAGAACCCUCAAGGGCGCAUCAUCGACCGAUCCAGAUGUCUUCGGAUGGAUUUGAGUAUGAGCAUAGCUGUUGGGACCCGAAAGAUGGUGAACUAUGCCUGAAUAGGGUGAAGCCAGAGGAAACUCUGGUGGAGGCUCGCAGCGGUUCUGACGUGCAAAUCGAUCGUCAAAUUUGGGUAUAGGGGCGAAAGAC